rnacentral:lncRNA from 1 species
ACUCAAGAUGGCGAAACCUCGGCCGCCGCGGCUAUAUUCGCCGCGGCGUCACUGCCUUCCUGGCCUGGUGGUGAGAGGAAGUCGGGCCGCGAAAGCUUCCUGAGGAGAAAAUGGAGGGCCCUUCUCUCACACCGACGAGAAAAGUUCGAGGGGGAAAUACGAGUUCCUUUCUGAAGGGACAGGACGGCUGCUUUUCCACAGCCGCGACGUGAUUGAGAAAUGGUGGCUGGCAAGGGUAGGCCUGCCUUCGCCCCUCCAAAGUAAAAAUCGGGAGUUGAGACCAGAGGAACAUCUCUUUAUUACAUGACUAAGGAUAUGUUUUGAAAACUGGCCCCCGGGCAGCUGCUCGGGGACAGGAAGCUGACCUGACUUCUCCAGCUGGCCGGGGAGGCUGAUGCCGGGCCUAAGGGGCCGCGUCCGAGCCUCUCGGGGCGCGCCUCCAUGCAGGAAGGCGCGGAACUAGCGACCCGGAGACGCCGGGCGCGCGUCUGAGUGUGGGGGCAGGAAGGGGGGCCGACCGGGCCCGGAGGCCGCACCAGGCAGGAGGGAGGACUCCAGAGAGUGCGCGGGGGGCGCUGCGCGGUGGGACGGGGCGAGCCUGUAGGGCGCGCCUGGCGGCGGCAUGGCGUCUCCAGCCCAGGUUUUAAAAUACCUUCUAAUGUAAGGAAAUAGCCCUGCACCUUGUGCCCAUCCUAGAGAGAAAAUGGUUUCUUAAUAAAAAAUGUAUGAGGCCUUUUUUGCCCCAAUAUCUUCCCAAGCAGAGGAAUGUGAAGGGGGGUUGGGCCAAGAAGUGAGUGGUAGGAAGAGAGGCCUACGGAUUUAAAACAGGCCACUGCUUGGAGGGGUGUCUUUCCUAAACCACUGAAGAAAUUGAACCAGGCAAAGGAAGGGGGUUCACACCCACAAAUAAACUAUAACCUACAAAAGGAGCCCGGGUUCACAUCCACAAAUAAAUUGUAACCUACACAAGGAGUCUGGUUGAGGUCACAAAACAAAAGCCAGGAGGCAACCAAAAGUAGAAUAUGAAAUAGGUGCUGCCUUCUCACCUAGGAAUCCUUCCAGGGCUAAAACCUUCAAAUAUUCUGCUUUUAAGGUAGUCAGAUACCCUCACAACUCAUUUACAUCAGCCCUUCUCUGUUUUCAAGUGAGAAGCAUAGAUGGUUUAGAAUUAAGCUAUGAACUCUUGGAUCUUUUCUUCCAAGUUUAGUGUUAGUGGUAGAUAGGUCUAGUCCAACUAUCUCAAUACAUUGUUUUCUCCCUAGUUAAAACAGAUUUGCAAGAAUCAUUUGUAUGACACUUUAGGAAUACAGAUAAAUUGCUAGUGCAAAUAAUAUCCUUAUAUUUAUAAAAUAUAUGUGUACUUUUAAAAAAGUUAUAUGAAUCCAAUCCUCUGGCCUUUUAGUUAGUAUUGAGUGUGAUAGUUGUGGGAGAUCUGUAGUAAAUACGGUUUCUGAAGGGUGUGCUAUCAUCCCUAAUGAACUCACCUAUUAAUUGUGGUAAAGAGUUUUUCACUUGGGCUGGGCACGGUGGCUCACGCCUGUAAUCCCAGCACUUUGGGAGGCCGAGGCAGGUGGGUCGACUGAGGUCAGGAGUUCCAGACCAGCCUAGCCAACAUGGUGAAACCCCGUCUGUACUAAAAAAAAAAAAAAGAAAAAAAAUAGCUGGGCAUGGUGGCAGGUGCCUGUAAUCCCAGCUACUUGGGAGGCUGAGGCAGGAGAAUCCCUUGAACCUGGGGAGGCGGAGGUUGCAGUGAGCCAAGAUCGUGCCAUUGCACUCCAGCCUGGGCAACAAGAGCAAAACUCCGUCUCAAAAAAAAAAAAAAAAAGAAAAAGAAAAAGAAAUGAAAAAAAAAGUUUCCCAACAUGUAUUAGCCGUUUUCAUGUUGUCUGUAUUCACCUUUGCGUCAUCACCCCUCUUCAAUUUCCUCCUGGAAUUCAAUCACAGUAAUGGGUUAUCUCAGCAUAUAUUAUUCGCCAGUCUCACAUCCUGACCUCAUUUAUUUACCUAAAAAUAACCAGAACGAAAAAAAAAUCACAGAUUAAUUUACACUUGAUUUCACUUUAACUUCAAUUUAAAAUACUUAGAAUCCAGAAUUCCUAGUAAGUUGAACCUGGAAUACGCAGACCUGUGAUAAUAUCUUAAACACUCAAAUGUUUUCAACUUGCUGAAAUGGAGUUCACACUUUUAACAUUCUGGGCUUUUUUUUUAAAAGGGACUAUAAUACUUUAAC